rnacentral:rRNA from 1 species
GACGAACGCUGGCGGCGUGCUUAACACAUGCAAGUGGAGCGACGAACCAGGCUUCGGCCUGGGGCAGAGCCGCGAACGGGUGAGUAACACGUGGGUAACCUGCCCCGAUGACUGGGACAACCCGGGGAAACCCGGGCUAAUACCGGAUGUGCUGCUCUCGCAUCAGCGAGAGCAGGAAAGGAAGCUUCGGCCUCCGCAUCGGGAUGGGCCCGCGGCCCAUUAGCUUGUUGGUGAGGUAACGGCUCACCAAGGCUGCGAUGGGUAGCUGGUCUGAGAGGACGAUCAGCCACACUGGGACUGAGACACGGCCCAGACUCCUACGGGAGGCAGCAGUGGGGAAUCUUGCGCAAUGCGCGAAAGCGUGACGCAGCAACGCCGCGUGGGGGAAGAAGGCCUUCGGGUUGUAAACCCCUUUCAGUUGGGACGAAGCUUCGCCGGUGAAUAGCCGGCUGGAGUGACGGUACCUUCACAAGAAGCCCCGGCUAACUACGUGCCAGCAGCCGCAGUAACAC